rnacentral:rRNA from 1 species
UGGGAAUAUUGCACAAUGGGGGAACCUGAUGCAGCGACGCAGCGUGCGGGAUGACGGCCUUCGGGUUGUAAACCGCUUUCAGCAGGGAAGAAGCCCCUCGGGGUGACGGUACCUGCAGAAGAAGUACCGGCUAACUACGUGCCAGCAGCCGCGGUAAUACGUAGGGUACAAGCGUUGUCCGGAAUUAUUGGGCGUAAAGAGCUCGUAGGUGGUUGGUCACGUCUGCUGUGGAAACGCAACGCUUAACGUUGCGCGUGCAGUGGGUACGGGCUGACUAGAGUGCAGUAGGGGAGUCUGGAAUUCCUGGUGUAGCGGUGAAAUGCGCAGAUAUCAGGAGGAACACCGGUGGCGAAGGCGGGACUCUGGGCUGUAACUGACACUGAGGAGCGAAAGCAUGGGGAGCGAACAGGAUUAGAUACCCUGGUAGUCCAUGCCGUAAACGUUGGGCACUAGGUGUGGGGGACAUUCCACGUUCUCCGCGCCGUAGCUAACGCAUUAAGUGCCCCGCCUGGGGAGUACGGUCGCAAGGCUAAAACUCAAAGGAAUUGACGGGGGCCCGCACAAGCGGCGGAGCAUGCGGAUUAAUUCGAUGCAACGCGAAGAACCUUACCAAGGCUUGACAUACACCAGACCGUUCUGGAAACAGUUCCUCCCCUUUGGGGUUGGUGUACAGGUGGUGCAUGGUUGUCGUCAGCUCGUGUCGUGAGAUGUUGGGUUAAGUCCCGCAACGAGCGCAACCCUCGUUCUAUGUUGCCAGCACGUGAUGGUGGGAACUCAUAGGAGACUGCCGGGGUCAACUCGGAGGAAGGUGGGGAUGACGUCAAAUCAUCAUGCCCUUUAUGUCUUGGGCUUCACGCAUGCUACAAUGGCUGGUACAGAGAGAUGCGAGACCGCGAGGUUUUAGCGAAUCCCUUAAAGCCAGUCUCAGUUCGGAUCGUAGUCUGCAAUUCGACUACGUGAAGUCGGAGUCGCUAGUAAUCGCAGAUCAG